CUCGAACCAUCAUGAGAGGUACAGCCUGCCCAGUGACCCAAUGUUCAACGGCCGCGGUAUCCUAACCGUGCGAAGGUAGCGUAAUCACUUGUUCUUUAAAUGAGGACUAGUAUGAAUGGCAUCACGAGGGUUAUACUGUCUCCUUUUUCCAAUCAGUGAAACUAAUCUCCUCGUGAAGAAGCGAGGAUUAUUUUAUAAGACGAGAAGACCCUAUGGAGCUUUAAACUAACCAGCAUUUGCUAUAUUAUAUAAUUUUUCAGAAAUAUAAAAAACAGCUUAGCUCUUUGACUAUAAGUUUUCGAUUGGGGUGAUCACGGAACAAAAAAUAACUUCCGUGCCGAAAGGAUUAUUCCUGAGCCAAAAGUGACAACCUUAAGCACUAAAAAAUUAACGCUUAUUGACCCAAUAAUUUGAUCAACGAAC
rnacentral:rRNA from 1 species